GCCAAGCCCACAGUUACUCUAGGCCACUGCCAAGACUGUGUUCCGCAGGAAUACCAGUGCUCAGGCCCUAGGCUGACCGCACCCCUGCCCUGCCACCAGUGUGAGAGUGAGUCCUAAACUCUUCCACUGAGUUUGAAUGUUUAGUUCACAGCAAAGAUGAGGCUGGAUGAUCAAUCUGAUGCAAGCCACCUCUAACUUCUGUCUGCGGGAUACCUGCAAUCACCUCUGGAACAUAGAGAGAAUGCAUUUUAGCUGCUUUGGAGACUUGGAGGCUGCCAUGCGGGUCACCAGGCCUGACUGUAUGGCGUCAGAAGCAGGAAGUCUCUUCCUUCCGCAACUGUUUUCCAUAUUACUACUUGAAUCGCCCUCCACAACGUAGAGACUUGCCUCAUCUGCUUCAGCUUCUCAGCUACGUUUCAUCGCAAAGGAGGAAUGAAACAAAUACAGCAAGAAGAGUCCUGUGCAAUCCAUCUGGUAGACUGUGGGUGCCCAGGAGCAGGGGCAGCCUGAUGACUAUGUCUGCAUACAUUUGCAUGAAGAUGAGCUACUCCCAGGUUCAAGCAAUGAUGCAUGUGGUGGCAAGCUUCCUUCUAGAGCUCAUUCUCUCUAGCUCAUUCACCACCUUGUGAAGAACCAGCUUUCUGUCCUCCCUCCCCCAUCCUUGUCCCUUCUUCUGUCCUCCUCUCUUUCUUUCUCCUUCCUUCCUUCUGUAUUGGGAAUUGAACCCAGGGCCUUCGCAAUUCGCUAUCUCCAAAUCCCUUUUUUAUUUUGAGACAGAGUCUCAUUAAGUUACCCAAGCUGGGUUUGGAUUUAUGAUCCUGCUUCAACCUCCCAGAGCUUGGGAUUAAAGCCAUGUGCCAGCAUGCCUGACAGAACUGACCUUUCUUUAUGAGAAAUCUGCAUUGGUAGCUCCUGCUCUUAGACUAUCAUUGUCCCUAAUAAAGUGGUGCUGAGUGUCAUAA